GCCUAGGUGGCUCAGUUGGUUAAGCAUCUGACUUCGGCUCAGGUCAUGAUCUCAUGGUUCGUGAGAUCAAGCCCCACAUUGGGCU
rnacentral:tRNA from 1 species